AUUGAACGCUGGCGGCAGGCUUAACACAUGCAAGUCGAGCGGGGAAAGGUAGCUUGCUACCUGACCUAGCGGCGGACGGGUGAGUAAUGCUUAGGAAUCUGCCUAUUAGUGGGGGACAACAUUCCGAAAGGAAUGCUAAUACCGCAUACGCCCUACGGGGGAAAGCAGGGGAUCUUCGGACCUUGCGCUAAUAGAUGAGCCUAAGUCAGAUUAGCUAGUUGGUGGGGUAAAGGCCUACCCAGGCGACGAUCUGUAGCGGGUCUGAGAGGAUGAUCCGCCACACGGGGACUGGGACACGGCCCAGACUCCUACGGGAGGGAGCAGUGGGGAAUAUUGGACAAUGGGCGAAAGCCUGAUCCAGCCAUGCCGCGUGUGUGAAGAAGGCCUUUUGGUUGUAAAGCACUUUAAGCGAGGAGGAGGCUACUUAGAUUAAUACUCUAGGAUAGUGGACGUUACUCGCAGAAUAAGCACCGGCUAACUCUGUGCCAGCAGCCGCGGUAACAC
rnacentral:rRNA from 1 species